rnacentral:rRNA from 1 species
AUUGAACGCUGGCGGCAGGCCUAACACAUGCAAGUCGAACGAGUGGCGGACGGGUGAGUAAUGUCUGGGAAACUGCCUGAUGGAGGGGGAUAACUACUGGAAACGGUAGCUAAUACCGCAUAACAUAAGAUGAGCCGAGAUGGUAUUAGCUUGUUGGUGGGGUAAAGGCUAACCAAGGCGACGAUCCCUAGCGGGUUUGAGAGGAUGACCAGCCACACUGGAACUGAGACACGGUCCAGACUCCUACGUGAGGCAGCAGUGGGGAAUAUUGGACAAUGGGCGAAAGCCUGAUCCAGCCAUGCCGCGUGUGUGAAGAAGGUUUUCGGAUUGUAAAGCACUUUAAGUUGGGAGGCGUUACCAACAGAAUAAGCACCGGCUAACUUCGUGCCAGCAGCCGCGGUAAUUC